rnacentral:rRNA from 1 species
CAAUAGCGUAUAUUAAAGUUGUUGCAGUUAAAAAGCUCGUAGUUGGAUUUGUGGCGGUUCCUGUGGUCCGAUUUCGGUACUUUCGGGGACUGCCAUCCUUGGGUGGAUCCUGUGUGGCAUUAGGUUGUCGUGCAGGGGAUGCCCAUCGUUUACUGUGAAAAAAUUAGAGUGUUCAAAGCAGGCUUACGCCGUUGAAUAUAUUAGCAUGGAAUAAUGAGAUAGGACCUUGGUACUAUUUUGUUGGUUUGCGCACCGAGGUAAUGAUUAAUAGGGACAGUUGUGGGUAUUCGUAUUCCAUUGUCAGAGGUGAAAUUCUUGGAUUUCUGGAAGACGAACGAAUGCGAAAGCAUUUACCAAGGAUGUUUNCAUUA